UGCAAGUCGAACGGUGAAGCAGAGCUUGCUCUGUGGAUCAGUGGCGAACGGGUGAGUAACACGUGAGCAACCUGCCCCUGACUCUGGGAUAAGCGCUGGAAACGGCGUCUAAUACCGGAUAUGAGCUGCGAUCGCAUGGUCAGCAGUUGGAAAGAUUUUUCGGUCUGGGAUGGGCUCACGGCCUAUCAGCUUGUUGGUGAGGUAAUGGCUCACCAAGGCGUCGACGGGUAGCCGGCCUGAGAGGGUGACCGGCCACACUGGGACUGAGACACGGCCCAGACUCCUACGGGAGGCAGCAGUGGGGAAUAUUGCACAAUGGGCGAAAGCCUGAUGCAGCAACGCCGCGUGAGGGAUGACGGCCUUCGGGUUGUAAACCUCUUUUAGCAGGGAAGAAGCGAAAGUGACGGUACCUGCAGAAAAAGCGCCGGCUAACUACGUGCCAGCAGCCGCGGUAAUACGUAGGGCGCAAGCGUUAUCCGGAAUUAUUGGGCGUAAAGAGCUCGUAGGCGGUUUGUCGCGUCUGCUGUGAAAUCCCGAGGCUCAACCUCGGGUCUGCAGUGGGUACGGGCAGACUAGAGUGCGGUAGGGGAGAUUGGAAUUCCUGGUGUAGCGGUGGAAUGCGCAGAUAUC
rnacentral:rRNA from 1 species